rnacentral:rRNA from 1 species
GAAGGUGGCCUGUGAGGGUUGCUGGAGGUAUCAGAAGUGCGAAUGCUGACAUAAGUAACGAUAAAGCGGGUGAAAAGCCCGCUCGCCGGAAGACCAAGGGUUCCUGUCCAACGUUAAUCGGGGCAGGGUGAGUCGACCCCUAAGGCGAGGCCGAAAGGCGUAGUCGAUGGGAAACGGGUUAAUAUUCCCGUACUUGGUGUUACUGCGAAGGGGGGACGGAGAAGGCUAUGUUGGCCGGGCGACGGUUGUCCCGGUUUAAGCGUGUAGGUGUGUGUUCCAGGUAAAUCCGGUUCACUUUAACACUGAGGCGUGAUGACGAGGCACUACGGUGCUGAAGCAACAAAUGCCCUGCUUCCAGGAAAAGCCUCUAAGCAUCAGGUAACAUCAAAUCGUACCCCAAACCGACACAGGUGGUCAGGUAGAGAAUACCAAGGCGCUUGAGAGAACUCGGGUGAAGGAACUAGGCAAAAUGGUGCCGUAACUUCGGGAGAAGGCACGCUGACACGUAGGUGAAGUGAUUUACUCAUGGAGCUGAAGUCAGUCGAAGAUACCAGCUGGCUGCAACUGUUUAUUAAAAACACAGCACUGUGCAAACACGAAAGUGGACGUAUACGGUGUGACGCCUGCCCGGUGCCGGAAGGUUAAUUGAUGGGGUCAGCGCAAGCGAAGCUCCUGAUCGAAGCCCCGGUAAACGGCGGCCGUAACUAUAACGGUCCUAAGGUAGCGAAAUUCCUUGUCGGGUAAGUUCCGACCUGCACGAAUGGCGUAAUGAUGGCCAGGCUGUCUCCACCCGAGACUCAGUGAAAUUGAACUCGCUGUGAAGAUGCAGUGUACCCGCGGCAAGACGGAAAGACCCCGUGAACCUUUACUAUAGCUUGACACUGAACAUUGAGCCUUGAUGUGUAGGAUAGGUGGGAGGCUUUGAAGUGUGGACGCCAGUCUGCAUGGAGCCGACCUUGAAAUACCACCCUUUAAUGUUUGAUGUUCUAACGUGGACCCGUAAUCCGGGUUGCGGACAGUGUCUGGUGGGUAGUUUGACUGGGGCGGUCUCCUCCUAAAGAGUAACGGAGGAGCACGAAGGUUGGCUAAUCCUGGUCGGACAUCAGGAGGUUAGUGCAAUGGCAUAAGCCAGCUUGACUGCGAGCGUGACGGCGCGAGCAGGUGCGAAAGCAGGUCAUAGUGAUCCGGUGGUUCUGAAUGGAAGGGCCAUCGCUCAACGGAUAAAAGGUACUCCGGGGAUAACAGGCUGAUACCGCCCAAGAGUUCAUAUCGACGGCGGUGUUUGGCACCUCGAUGUCGGCUCA